UCUUCUUUCUCAGGCCCUGGACCAGCGGCAUGGUCGGUCAAUGCCCUACCUGGACUUCUCGACGCACAAGGACAAGAGGCAGAGUGGCAGCGGCAAGUCGGGGUCGCGGAGGGGUUCGCGCGAGUCUCUCGAUAGCGUCAACUAUGAUGGCCAGCCGCAGGACGAGAAUGAAGCGCGCCAGUUCCAUGUGCGCCCUUAGUACAGACCCUCAGGCCAAGAGCAACCUGAUAAACAUGCGCCCGCGUACUGCAAGCUCAGACCAGCUUCGCUCCGCCAGCAAAGGAGAUCUCUAGCAAGCUGCGAAGCAGCAGUCGCCCCCUGUGCAGCUUUUGCUUUUUUAACGACCGGGGUGGACAUUUUAUUCAGUAGCGCACACACCACUCGGAAGAGGAGAUUGCAAAGUUGGGCAUCCUCGGAAUGCAUCUAGCCCGGAGAACAGAUGCCGGGCCCAACUAAGAGGCAGCGUGACAGUGUACUUACGUUGUCGACGGAUGAACGCUGUUUCCGAGCACUAGCUCACAGUUGCUUAUGUGUAACCGUGCGCACGACAGAUAGGCUUCUCAGUGGCAUUGCUUUGGACUGAGUAGGCAGAGCGUAUUAUCUCGGUGAAAUGAAAAAAAAAAAAGGAAAAGCUUUACUUUAAAAAAAAAAAAAGUAGAGGCCAUUUCUCAUCGGCCACACAAAGAGAAACCUGCGGGGACCCAUUUGGCUGCUCGGUGGCAAAGUGUGAUGGUGGCAUAUGUUUGCCUCUUGUAUUUUGCUGCUUUUUCUAUGAAGUUUCGAAGUCAGGCCAUUUUGAGAUGUCAGAGUGGCAGUGUUCACUGUCAGAAGAGUAGUGUACUAAAUUUUGCUUUCAAGGCUCAUGCAUUCACAUCAUUCUAGGAUGUUUUUGUGCUUCACCUGCCACUGGUGCUUUGUUCACAAAUUAUUGAGACUUGAUAGAUGUGCUCACAUUAGAUUCGUUCUUUACUACUGCAACCCUGUGUAUGUGCACCAGAUGUUGGCUUGGGCCUUACAAUUGUUUUCAUGGAUAAUUUGUCAGGCGGGGCUGGAAAAAAAAAAGAAUUCAGACACACCCAGCACGUUCAUAUUUUAUGUUGGUGUAAUGAAAGGAGUCAAGCAUGCUCGGAUUUCUGCUAUGAAAGAAUGGUGGUACUCUGAUGAAGUGGGCUGACUUAGAGAUCAUGACAGAUUGUACUUACUUUUACUGUAAUUUUUAGUAAAAUCAGAGUAGAGGUCAUUGGAUGGCAACCUUAGAUUACAUGAAGCAUUGACUUGCUGCUAUGUGCAAUCUGAACUGCUCAUCAGGUUGUUAAUUCACCCUUUUGGGGAGCUCUUGAUUGUGCAUUAUGUAAUCAUGGAAGUGGCAUCGGUAUCAUUUUUUGCUGAAUUAUGUUUCUUGCGUAGUGUAGAAUAGUGGUAGAUGCCCGUGCUGAAUAAGUAACUUGUACUCUGGCUACUACAUUUUCCACACUUUUUAUCGGAGUCACUAUCAGCCUUUGAAGAGAGUUAAAAACUCUUACAGCAUAAAGGCACGAGCAUUGAAGGCACAAUAAAUGAACUGAUGUAGUGCAGUACGUGCUGAGGUGCUUUCACAUUUUAGAAAUUGCCACCUGAAGAAUGUUCUUCUUUGCUGCUUCAUAAUGGAUUUUACAAAAUUUGCUGAUGAAGUGUAUGGCACUGUAGGUGAUUCCACAUUUUAGAAAUUGCUGCUUGAAGUGUGCUGCUUACCACUUGAUGAUGAAUUUGGUGAAAUGUUUCGAAGCGCAUGUUGCUGCCAUGGGACAGUAGAUUGUUUAGUGGAUGAAUGAGCAAAACACAAUGCAUUGACUGUACAGAACAUGUGCAUAUACCACUGACAGAGACUGAAGCUGUAUGUGCUAUUGAUUAUGUGAUAACAUCUACAUAAAAGAAGUUGUGAAAGGAUUUUCAUCACUUGCAAGCGGUGAAAGCUUUUGAUAUUUCAGUCACAGAGGUUCUCCCUCUCUUGGUUUCUUGUAAUAUAAAGGAACUGAAAUGCCAAUUGCGAUCUAUGUAAGAUUUAUGUGCGCCUUGUUAGAAAAGACAGCUUGCGAAAAUGACAUGUAUCCCACAUAGCAUGUUGCAUUCUCAACUUGUUGGUCUUGGGAAAAUUAAGGGCAGUGCUGGCUCUACGUGCUGCACAUGCUUCGUUGUGGAAGCAUGCUGCAUGACAUUGGAGUCCCCUAGUGUGUCAAUUACAUGACAAUAUGCAGAAGGAGAAAAACUUAAGCUUGUUUAGCAUCUUGGCUUGCUGCUUGACAAAAUUCUCUGAACACAUUUCAAAAGUUGCUUGUAAUAAUCGUGCAGUUUUAUGGUCUGCAAAGUGUAGGAAAUUGCAACUUGCAUUACGACAUUCCAUCCAGCCACCCGGUGCUCGUGAUAUUAAUGUUUUUGCUCCUGCAGUUUAGCCGUGGUACUGCUGCGCCAGUGUUGUCACAGCGAGCACGAUUUUGCAUUUCCACACACAGUUAAGCUUCCAAACAGGUGAAUUGUAUGCCUCACUUGACCAAAGACACAUGUUGAAGCAAAUGACAUGGGGUAUUCUAUUUUGGCCAUGGCAUUUCAAGUAAAAAGGCAUGAACUACACUUCUAGGGGCAGUCGCUGCAACUUGUUCUAUUCUAGAAACACUAGCAGGAUCUUGUGCAUUACACCUGUGAGACAUGUUUGUAAGAGAAUCGAGGAAUUGAAAGUGCUUACGCUCGAGCUUUGUGGGCAGCAGCUGUUUAUGUAUUAAGUUUUUAUGCCACUUUGCAUGCACGCCUUAUUAUAACAUCCACUGGUCCGGCCAUGUGGCUGGCCACAGUUAAAAGGUGUCUGGCCAGCCUUCGUGUCUAUAGAAAGAUGUCUUCAUGAGAGAAGUGCUUGCAGUGCUCUCUUAACAUUCCGCUUUAGAAAACGUGGAGCUCUGUGAUCUGAGCGACGCUGUUCGUCGACGUGGGUUUUGCUGCAUAACAAGUCUGCGAAAAGGGGGCAAAUGACGCCUUUUUUGCUUGGUUCCUAUCGGUAAUGCUGCUAACGGUGAGACUCUUGCCGUACCCCUACCAUGCGGACUUUGCGGGAAGAGCAGGACAGUUUGUUCUUUCGUCUUUUUUGUUGUUAUUUAUUUUGUUACAAGUUCUCUUUUUUUCCUUGUUUUAACGCAUUGACGAUCGCUGUGCGCUCUUGUUGGGGCAUGGAUGUGCAUCUUUUUUUGCACCAUGCGCUGUAUGCACUGCGUGCUAUCUUGUGUGCAGCGUCACUUGUCGGACAGGAGAUGCUGUACAGAUUUUACAUGUACAUGUGCACGCCUGCGUGAGCUGUCUUCUUUUUUUUUCUUGCGUGUGUGUGUGUCCGUGUGUGCAUUUGUAUGAGAAAUAAAAAGUGUAAUACACCAUG